CCUGGUGGCUCAGAGGGUAAAGCAUCUGCCUGCAAUGCAGGAGACUGGGUUCGAUUCCUGGGUCAGGA
rnacentral:tRNA from 1 species